UACGGGGGGAGCAAGCGUUGUUCGGAAUUACUGGGCGUAAAGAGUGUGUAGGCGGUGCUCUAAGUCUGUUGUGAAAUCUCCCGGCUUAACUGGGAGGGUGCAGCGGAAACUGGAAUGCUCGAGUAUGGGAGAGGUAAGCGGAAUUCCUGGUGUAGCGGUGAAAUGCGUAGAUAUCAGGAGGAACACCGGUGGCGAAGGCGGGUCUCUGGGCCGAUGACUGACGCUGAGGAGCGAAAGCGUGGGGAGCGAACAGG
rnacentral:rRNA from 1 species